rnacentral:rRNA from 1 species
ACAAUAGACUACCCGGGUAGUCCACGCCCUAAACAUGCAUGCUUUGGUGUGGGGCCGUUUCAGUUCGGUCCGUGCCGGAGCUAACGCGUUAAGCAUGCCGCCUGGGGAGUACGGUCGCAAGGACUGAAACUCAAAGGAAUUGACGGGGGGCCCGCACAAGCGGUGGAGCGUGUGGUUCAAUUCGACGCAACGCGAAGAACCUUACCUGGGCUCGAACGGUCUUCCUAACGGCCGGUGAAAGCCGGCUAUCCCGUCAAGGGUAGUGGAGUUCGAGGUUGCUGCAUGGCUGUCGUCAGCUCGUGUCGUGAGAUGUUGGGUUAAGUCCCGCAACGAGCGCAACCCUUGUCCUGUGUUCGCAAACCCGUAAGGUUGGACUCGCAGGAGACCGCCAGCGAGUAAGGCUGGGAGGAAGGUGGGGAUGACGGUCAAGUCAUCAUGGUCCCUUUAUGUCCGAGGGGUCUACACUACGUGCUACAAGUGGACGGUACAAGUCGCCGACAACCCGGNGAGGGGGAGCAAACGUCGGUACAAAAACCCGUUCUCAGUUCGGAUUGCAGG